rnacentral:lncRNA from 1 species
AAGCCAUUUAGAGCUGAAUUUGUUAUUCAGAAAAUUUGUGCUCACUUUACUCUGAGUUCUAGGGUUGAAAGCUUCAGUCCUUCUGAGGAGGAAAGCCUGGGGUGGAGUUGAAGGCUGACCAGGUCCUGAUGCAGGGAGGACCCCUCACAGCUGUUUCGAGCAUGCACCACCAGUCUGGCAGCUUCUGGGUAAUUCACACCUGCUCCCUACCCUGUGGUAUUUCUGUCACUGAACAUGCAAGGACCACAUCCCCAUAUCUGGCCAUCCCCAGCUGCCCUGGUUUCAAGUGUUUUUCUUGAUCCCUGACAAAAGGCACAUAAUCUAUGAGCGCUGACAUACCCCAGCUAAAUGAGGCUUCCACGUCUGCCUAGAGAUUGCAACACAGAAAUCAGUGUGAGCUGUAAAACCCUCCCAAGACUCCAGAAAGGUUCUUGAGCCAUUCCUAAAUGCUGACUUUGUUUCCUACACAAGCAUAUUGUAGGGAAGUGUUGUUUGGACUAUACCAGAAGAAAGAAGCAUGAUCAUUGCCUUACUGUAGCAGGAUUUUGUCAAACUUUUAAUUCAUCAAGCCUUAAUACUGUUUGGAAUCCCCUCAAAGUACAAAGACCUUCAGAACCCCUAGAAAACCCUCAAAAAACCACACUGUGAGUUGUAAAGCAUAGCUCAAAUAUCUACAACCAAGCCACAGUCUAUGUGUUUUUGAUACAGCACAAUGGAUCACUGAAGAACUCUGCAACUGCUCACAGAGAAAUCCUAAACCUGUAAAUCAUGAACGUGGCAGAUUGCAACAGUCCUUUCAAAUAUUUUACAGUUUCUGGUACAUUUGAGGAUUUAGAGAACAGCAGGUUUUUACAUACAUAUCUCCUCUGCGCA